rnacentral:tRNA from 3 species
GUGACCGUAGUUCAGUUGGUUAGAGCGUCAGAUUGUGGUUCUGAAUGUCGUGGGUUCGAAUCCCAUCGGUCACC